rnacentral:lncRNA from 1 species
GGUGCUGCUGGUGCCUAGGGCCCAGAGGAUGAUGUCCAUCUGCUUGACGUUUCCAGAAGGGCUGCUCUGCUCAGGACCCAGCGACCAACAGGGGGGCAAUAGACCAGCUAUGUUUGCCCUGUGUCUUGUUCUGCUCCUGAUUCUGCCUGGUAUGACAGGAUUCCUUUGAAAGCGAGAGUACAAGAACCCUGUUUGACUUGACCUCAGUAUCUCUGUUGGAUGAUUAAAACAGAAUUUAUAGACAGCCACGCGCGCCUACUGCAGUUGGUAAAAGCAUUAAA